rnacentral:tRNA from 1 species
GGGCCCGUGGUCCAGUGGUUAAGACAUCACCCUCACAAGGUGUCUGGGACCGGUGGUUACCGGGGUUCGAAUCCCCGCGGGCCCACCA